UACGUAGGGUGCAAGCGUUGUCCGGAAUUAUUGGGCGUAAAGAGCGCGUAGGCGGUCCGGUAAGUCGGCUGUGAAAGUCAAGGGCUCAACCCUUGAAAGCCGGCCGAUACUGUCGGACUAGAGUCCGGAAGAGGCGAGUGGAAUUCCCGGUGUAGCGGUGGAAUGCGCAGAUAUCAGGAGGAACACCAAUAGCGAAGGCAGCUCGCUGGGACGGUAUUGACGCUAAGGCGCGAAAGCGUGGGGAGCAAACAGG
rnacentral:rRNA from 1 species